GAAUUUUGCGCGCGGAGCGGAAUUUCUCUUUGUCUUUUCUAAUUAGUUCCACCCAAGAAAUCACAAGACAGAGAAAAAUUCCGCUCCGCACGCAAAAUUCCGCCUAGU
rnacentral:miRNA from 1 species